rnacentral:tRNA from 1 species
CGGGGUAUAGCUCAGUGGCAGAGCACGUGCUUGGCAUGUACGAGGUCCCAGGUUCAAUCCCCAGUGCCUCUG